CAGCGUGCCCCGGGGCGAGUGGAAGAGGGAAGAUGGCUGAAUACCUGGCCUCCAUCUUCGGCACCGAGAAAGACAAGGUUAACUGCUCUUUUUACUUUAAGAUCGGGGCUUGUCGGCACGGAGACAGGUGUUCCCGCCUCCACAACAGACACACCUUCAGCCAGACCAUCGUGCUGCUGAAUCUGUAUCGGAACCCCCAGAACACGGCCCAGUCGGCAGACGGCUCGCACUGUCAUGUCAGCGAUGUGGAAGUGCAGGAGCAUUAUGACAAUUUCUUUGAGGAGGUCUUCAUGGAACUGGAGGAGAAGUAUGGGGAGAUUGAGGAGAUGAAUGUUUGUGACAACCUUGGAGACCACCUGGUCGGCAACGUCUAUGUCAAGUUCCGGCGGGAGGAGGACGCCGAGCGGGCCGUGGGGGAGCUGAACAAUCGCUGGUUCAAUGGCCGGGCCGAGCUGUCCCCAGUCACCGACUUCCGCGAGUCCUGCUGCCGUCAGUACGAGAUGGGAGAGUGCACACGCGGCGGGUUCUGCAACUUCAUGCACCUGCGGCCCAUAUCCCGGCAGCUGCGCCGGCAGCUCUACGGGCGGAGCCAGCGCGGGCGGGGCCCAUCCCCCUCGCGUUCCUACGACCGGCCCCGUGGCAAGAAACGCCAGCGCUCGCCCGACCAUCGCUAUGGACGCUUCUGACCUCUCCCCAGGCUCCUUGCUUCACCUAGCCCACCCCAGCCACCAGUCACCUGACCUGCCAUAGACCCAGCGGAAGUGCGGCUGCUGGAGUCCCCACGCUACGUCUGACCUUCCCGCCGAACCUGGUGCUUCCUUUGGCUAAGCAGGACGCUGCCCAUCUCUGUGCCUGGUUAUUUACCCAGCUGUAGAGCGGCACAACCAGUGAAUCAGCGUCUGAAUUUUGACCUUUUUAACGAUGUUAGAAAACCGGGCCUGCUGCGUUUCCUUGUUUCUGCAUCCAUGCUUUUUACGCUGGGCUCAUGUUACGCUGCCAAGUUACUCCUGGGGGAAUUCUGCGCUACUGCGUGUGCUCAUAAUUAACAAGUCCUGCAGAUUUUUAAAUUUUUGAGCAGAAAAAAGCUUCUGCUGAAAUGUUGCUGCAGUUCUGACUUUUGCCCACCAUAGGGCACUGUGGCGCUGGGACAAAGCUGCAGCUCCCCACCAGUGAAGGAAGAGUAAGCGCCUGCCUUCUUCACAGUGCCUGUCAGGCCAGAAGACAGGGGCUAUGGGGAGACAGACAGCGUGGGGUGCUGGGGGGUCAGAUGGGCUCACAGGAGCUAAUGGGGAGGACAGAUUGGGGCAGGAGCUCAAUGGGAAUGGAGGCGCAGGGCCAUGCGGGGGAGGGAGGUGCAGAGACAUAUGGUGAUGAGGGAGGGGUGCAGAGCUACAUAG